GACGAACGCUGGCGGCGUGCUUAACACAUGCAAGUCGAACGAAGUGGCGAACGGGUGAGUAACGCGUAAUCAACCUGCCCUUCAGAGGGGGACAACAGUUGGAAACGACUGCUAAUACCGCAUACUGAAGGAGGGGAUUGCGUCUGAUUAGCUAGUUGGAGGGGUAACGGCCUUCCAAGGCGAUGAUCAGGAGCCGGUCUGAUGGGGUGAACGGCCACACUUGGACUCGGUAACGGCCCAGACUUCUACGGGGGGCAGCAGUGGGGAGUCUUUCGCAAUGGACGAAAGUCUGACGGAGCAAAGCCGCGUGAUUGAUGACGGCCGUCGGGUUGUAAAGCUCUGUUAAUCGGGACGCGGUACCUGAAUAGAAAGCCACGGCUAACUACGUGCCAGCAGCCGCGGUAAUAC
rnacentral:rRNA from 1 species